AAUUCCUGUAAAUUUACAGUGAAAAUAAACAGCAAAAUACCGUUUUAAUGUAAAAGCGGCAAGUUGCUGUUUUUUACAAUGCAUCAUGGGAAGACUUGCUCACUUGAGUUUGAGUGGUUGAGCAACAACAGUAAGGGCACUGUAAUUUAACGGUUUCAUACCAUAUUUUUUUCUGAGCACACAAGACGACAUUUUGGAUUAUCCACAUGUGGUACGUUUGCAGCUCCAUAUGUGACUUAACUACCUGUAAAGUACUGUUAGAUUUUUAAAAUCACAUUUAAACUUUCAAUCAACACAGAACUGCAACAAUGAUUUGACUGUAUGAAUUUGAAAAGCAAGAUAUAGCUUAGCAUAAGGACUCGGUAGUCCUCACAUUACUCCUGUAGCCUGGAUGGAUAUUUUACCUGAACUUUUAGCAACAGUGCAAAGAUUGAACGUUAUAAUUUGUGGUUACCUGAACUGGUACAUAGCCCUGCAAUUUAUGACAGAUUUGAACUGCGUGCCUCUGUUUGCAACUCCAUGGUACUUACAAGAAGGAUAAUUGGAUAAUUUGGAUAUUUUCGACGAGGAUCUGACCAUGUGAAUGUCUUGGGAGGAGAAAGGGGUAACGUUAGCCUAAUUUAGCAUGCUAACGAUAGCUGAAGGACUCAUUUUCAGAUCACACGCAGAUGUCUGCCACCACUGCUGAUCUUGAAAAGAUGGGUAACUUGCCUGUGACUCCUCGUUUGAUCCUGCAUGGUCCAGAUGUUACUCCGGGCCAGUGGAUGAAACAAUGGAUGAUCAGCAUGGAAGGCAGAGUAAUCUGUGAGGGUGUGCAGCCACAUUUUUUUCUGGACUUGCUGCAGUGUUUUCUUUGUACAACAUCUUCAGUUUGCAGUACCAGGAGGAAACAGCAUGCACACUGGAAUUCCUUCAAAGAUGCUGUGCUGGGAUAAAUCCAGAGAAGGGAACCUGCGAGGGGAAGGCUGCGAGGGGAAAUGUGACAUCAAAAAAAAACAAAAAAAACUGGCAGGACAGUUCAUGAGAAGACCAUGACCGUAAACCCCAAGGUUUCAAAUCUUUUAAAGAAACUAAUGGACUUUUUUUGAUGGGACUUUAUUUAAAAUGUAGCUAGCUGGCAACCCCCCCCCCCCCCCCCCUACAUUUGCAAUAUUGUUAUAUAAAC